CUGCAAGUAUUUGAGUUCCUGAGCGAAACUCAAACUGCAAAAUGAACGUGAAGGUUCUUUUAUGAGAGCUGACGGAAGAUCCCUGGUAAUGCCCUUCUUGUAGGGGAUGGCUGGGGCGCACUCCGGGGGCACUACGAUUGCAAUUGCCAAUCUGGUGCACCGAGAGCGUACACGUUGGGACCCGAAAGAUGGUGAACUAUGCCUGGCAAGGGCGAAGCCAGGGGAAACUCUGGUGGAGGUCCGUUUGGAUUCUGACGUGCAAAUCGAUCCUCAAAGCUGGGUAUAGGGGCGAAAGACUAAUCGAACCAUCUAGUAGCUGGUUCCCCCCGAAGUUUCCCUCAGGAUAGCUGGUGCUCGUUGUGAGAUGAAAAGUUUCAUCCGGUAAAGCGAAUGAUUAGAGGCCUUGGGGGCGAAAUGACCUCAACCUAUUCUCAAACUUUAAAUGGGUGAGAAGCCGGGCUUGCUUGAAUGAAGCUCCAGGCAUUGUGAAUUGUGAGAGUACCCAGUGGGCCACUUUCGGUAAGCAGAACUGGCGCUGUGGCGAUGAACCAAACGUUGCUUAAGUCGCCAAAAUGAACGCAUGUCUGAUGUCAUGAAGGCCGUACAGUGCUAUAGACAGCAUGACGGUGGCCAUGGAAGUC
rnacentral:rRNA from 1 species